GUCAGAGAUCGCUGAUCGGGGAUCUUCUAUAGAUCAACCUCUCAAUCAGACCUCAACCAAUGAUUACAGCUUGCCUUCUCAUGGUGAAGAUGAAGCCGGCGACGUCACAUACGCUCACAUUAAGUUCAAAAACACCAAACGGACGACCAAGUCCUCCAAACGAGGCCGAGUCCAACGCGGUACGCUGGAUACAAAAGCAGGGAGGAAUCGUGAGCCAGAAGAGGGCGCUGUUUACUCCGAUGUGAGGA